GAUGAACGCUGGCGGCGUGCCUAAUACAUGCAAGUCGAGCGAACAGAUGAGGAGCUUGCUCCUCUGACGUUAGCGGCGGACGGGUGAGUAACACGUGGAUAACCUACCUAUAAGACUGGGAUAACUUCGGGAAACCGGAGCUAAUACCGGAUAAUAUAUUGAACCGCAUGGUUCAAUAGUGAAAGACGGUUUUGCUGUCACUUAUAGAUGGAUCCGCGCCGCAUUAGCUAGUUGGUAAGGUAACGGCUUACCAAGGCAACGAUGCGUAGCCGACCUGAGAGGGUGAUCGGCCACACUGGAACUGAGACACGGUCCAGACUCCUACGGGAGGCAGCAGUAGGGAAUCUUCCGCAAUGGGCGAAAGCUUGACGGAGCAACGCCGCGUGAGUGAUGAAGGUCUUCGGAUCGUAAAACUCUGUUAUUAGGGAAGAACAAAUGUGUAAGUAACUAUGCACGUCUUGACGGUACCUACUCGGAGAGCCACGGCUAACUACGUG
rnacentral:rRNA from 1 species